GGGGAUCCUGUCCCUUCCCAGUGUGGGGAUGUUUAUUGGUCUAUGAUGUGAAAUGAAACGACCCAGGCAGCCGUCUUCUGCAUCAGAGGUCCAGGGUUGUUCUGGUCCUGUGUUCCAGAGAGAAGAUAGAGGAGCCAAGCACCCCUUCCCCAGAACAAGGCACCCUCCGCUGGGGCCUCCUGUCUUCCUGCACCCGGGGCUGGGUCCACGUGGACAACAAAACGCCACAGCAGUCCCGAGAUCGCCUGUCGCCAAGGGACUCCCAGAAGGCCCGGAACAUCUUGGAGGCCUGUGCCUCAAUGUCGUCACCUUGGCACCCCAGCACAUGCCUGGCACACAGGUGUGCUGGCUGAACAGUUACAGGAAGGGACACCAGAUGAGAGACGGCUCAAAGCAGAGAAUGAACGGGAAGGGCAGCAGGUAGGUAGAGGACCCCACUCAGCUUCUCUCACUCCUGAAUGUCCCCACCCCAAUCACUGCUCGUCACUCUGGUCCUUUACAGCCUUUCUCCUGGGGGCAGGGCUUAGGCAGGCUAUGCUUGCUGGCCAGACAGUGACCGUAUCUCCCUGUUUGGAAAUCGGGCAGGUGAGAUCAUUCCACCUGUCAUUAGAAGUCAGUGGGGCAUCGUAAUUGACCUUGGGCCCUUCUCCGGAGCUCUAGGACUUGGGGUCACCAUGGUCAUGCUCCACAGAUCCAGGAGUCCAGCGAAGAACAGAAUGUGGUCUGUAGCGGUGAGGCUGAAGGGCCUCAGGGAGGCAGCGAAGUGGGAGUUGUCAGCACUGCUAAGCCUCUAAGGUGGGAGGCGGGCCUGGGAGGCCGGAACAAGGCCAUCUCAUGAUUUCCAAGAGAGGAAAUCUCUGUUCCCCACCCUCCCUGCCCCACCUCUGCCGCCUUACAGUCUCCCACCUGCUAUAGGAACUCCACUGGGCGAGGGCACCACUCCUCAUCCCCUGCUUGGAGCUGAGUCAUCAGAGAAGACACCCAGAAAUCUGGGAAGAUUCCGAAGGCAGUGGGUGAGAGCUCAGAUGUGAGAAAGGCCUGAGUUUGAAUCCUGGCUCUGCCACCCACUCAGCCAAUGACUGAAACUCCCCCGAACCUCCAUUCCCUCAUCUGUAAAAUGGAGAUAACAAUUCUUGGGGCGUCUGGAUGGCUCCGUUGGUUAAGUGUCUGACCAGCUCAGGGGCCUGGAAUCAAGCCCUGCUUUGGCUCCCUGCUCUGCAGGGAGUCUGCUUCUCCCUCUCCCUCUUCUUGUGCUCUGUCCCUCCCUCAAAUAAAUAGAAUCUGUUAAAAAAAAAAAAAAGGGUA
rnacentral:lncRNA from 1 species